AUUGAACGCUGGCGGCAUGCUUUACACAUGCAAGUCGAACGGUAACAGGCCUUCGGGUGCUGACGAGUGGCGAACGGGUGAGUAAUGCAUCGGAACGUGCCCAAUCGUGGAGGAUAACGUAGCGAAAGUUACGCUAAUACCGCAUAAGCCCUGAGGGGGAAAGCAGGGGAUCGCAAGACCUUGCGCGAAUGGAGCGGCCGAUGUCAGAUUAGCUAGUUGGUGGGGUAAAGGCCUACCAAGGCGACGAUCUGUAGCGGGUCUGAGAGGAUGAUCCGCCACACUGGGACUGAGACACGGCCCAGACUCCUACGGGAGGCAGCAGUGGGGAAUUUUGGACAAUGGGCGCAAGCCUGAUCCAGCCAUGCCGCGUGCGGGACGAAGGCCUCGGUGUAACCGCUUUCAGCCGGAAGAAUACGCCAAGGCUAAUAUCCUUGGUGGAUGACGGUACCGGAAGAAGAAGCACCGGCUAACUACGUAGCCAGCAGCCGCGGUAAAGU
rnacentral:rRNA from 1 species